rnacentral:rRNA from 1 species
CAGCACCUCAAGUGGUCAGGAUGAUUAUUGGGCCUAAAGCAUCCGUAGCCGGCGCUGUAAGUUUUCGGUUAAAUCUGUACGCUCAACGUACAGGCUGCCGGGAAUACUGCAGCGCUAGGGAGUGGGAGAGGUAGACGGUACUCGGUAGGAAGGGGUAAAAUCCUUUGAUCUAUUGAUGACCACCUGUGGCGAAGGCGGUCUACCAGAACACGUCCGACGGUGAGGGAUGAAAGCUGGGGGCACGAACCGGAUUAGAUACCCGAGUAGUCC